UUACAAAGGCGGCGCAUUGAGGGAGAGGGGUUGCCAGCGGUUUCGAGAGACACUGCAUACUCUCCUCUAACAAACAGCCAAGUAUCUGGAAAAUAAAAGGAUGACCAAUGGUGAAAGAGACAGGAGACACACUGUGUGGAAAGGGCACCAAUUUGGAGUCAAGAAGUCCUAGAGCAACCUUUAUUUCUGCCACUUACUUGUCCCCAGGCUGCUCCUGAACCUCAGGCAAAGGUCUGGAACUCUCAAUCUCCGACAGCUUCUGGAUACUUCCUUUGGCAUCAAGCCCCAAGCUGGCAGCCUUCUGGCUAGACAACAACCAGGUCAGAUGCAGACUUCCUUUGCUCUUGGACUGGACUCACUUCCAGCGCCUGCAGCUGGGCCUGUGCCCCCACUGCCUGCCUCACCCUUGUAGGAGAGGUAACUCCUUAACCUGCCUUUUCUAGUCCAUCCUGCCUCACUCAGGUUAUCUAGGUCAUCUCAGACAGUGCCCCAAGAUAUGAAGGCUGGAGCUCAAGAGGCUGACUUUUUCCUGAAGAGUGCUAACUGAAGCUAGAAAAAUAAUUCAGAUAGCUCUGGAUCAAGAUGCUUCUUCCUGGACAAGUCAUAGGUAUUUUGGUAGGAGGAAAUGCCAAUAUAUUUUGUAAAAACAAAAGAAUCCCUGAGACCAGUCUUCCCUCUCAAUACUGAGCUACACAUAUUUUUUAUUUGUUUUAAAAGAACUAGAUAGUCCUUUGAAGGGUGGCCUGAGAAAAUUGGACUAUGUAUGUUUAGGGAAAUUUAACAUCCAAAGCAAUAUGGAAAUUCUUCUUAGCGCUGAUCUUUAUGAAUGUGUAUAAGCAAAGGAAUGCUGCUUUUAUGAUGCUUUGUUGGUCUCUCUUCAGUAGAUAUCCCAACAGUUUAUUACUAUGAGUAAUAGUCUAAAAUAAUAGGUGAUUGAACCUUUCAGUAAUUCGUGUACUUGGUUGAGUAGCUAUCAGCAAAUGUGUGAGUAGCACAGAGGAAAAUGUAUAAUAGUGUCCUUCCUUAGAACAAAAUCCCAGCUACCAAGAGAAAAC